rnacentral:rRNA from 1 species
GUCCAUGCCGUAAACGAUGAACACUAGGUUUUGGGCUCGUCAACGGUCCAGAGCCGCAGCUAACGCGUUAAGUGUUCCGCCUGGGGAAUACGGUCGCAAGACUGAAACUCAAAGGAAUUGACGGGGGCCCCGCACAAGCGGUGGAGCAUGUGGUUUAAUUCGACGCAACGCGCAGAACCUUACCAGGACUUGACAUGGAAGUGACCGGACGAGAGAUCGUUCUUCUCCCGCAAGGGAGCACUUCACACAGGUGCUGCAUGGCUGUCGU